AUGGUCAACACCCCAGUUCUCGCAUUGCCGGAUUUCACACGCCCCUUCUCCAUCGAGACAGAUGCGUGCGAUACCGGUGUCGGAGCAGUGCUGGUACAGGAUGGCCACCCCGUGGUGUAUCUUAGCAAGGCCUUGGGGAUACGGAACCAGCGUCUCUCCAUCUACGAGAAGGAGUUCCUCACCAUGAUCAUGGCCGUCGACAAGUGGCACUCCUACCUCCAGCGUGCUCCGUUUGUCAUCGUCACCGACCACAAGAGCUUGUGUACUCUAGGCGAGCAGCAGCUGGAUACGGAGCUCCAGCGCAAGGCUAUGUCCAAGCUAGUUGGCCUCCAGUUCUCCUUCAAGUACAGGCGCGGCGUCGAGAACGGCGCUGCCGAUGCCCUCUCGCGUGUCGGCCACCACUUCGCCAUCAAUGCCCUGCCCACAUGCCAACUGCAGUGGCUACAAGAGGUGGCCAACUCUUACGAGAUGGAUAGCGAUGCCCAAGAUCUUCCCCAACGCCUGGCCAUCUCCAGCCCCGACGACCAAGGCUAUGAGCUCCGGCAAGGCGUCAUCCGCCUCCAUGACAGGAUUUGGAUUGGGGCCAACUCCGCCCUCCAAACCAAGCUGAUCCACGCCUUCCACGCAAGCGCAGUGGGGGGGGCACUCCGGCGUGACCGCCACUUACCAGCGCCUCAAAAAACAUUUUGCCUGGUGUGGCCUUAA
rnacentral:rRNA from 1 species